AGUGAACGCUGGCGGUAGGCCUAACACAUGCAAGUCGAACGGCAGCACAGUAAGAGCUUGCUCUUACGGGUGGCGAGUGGCGGACGGGUGAGGAAUACAUCGGAAUCUACUUUUUCGUGGGGGAUAACGUAGGGAAACUUACGCUAAUACCGCAUACGACCUACGGGUGAAAGCAGGGGAUCUUCGGACCUUGCGCGAUUGAAUGAGCCGAUGUCGGAUUAGCUAGUUGGCGGGGUAAAGGCACACCAAGGCGACGAUCCGUAGCUGCUCUGAGAGGAUGAUCACACACACUGGAACAGAGACACGGUACAGACUCCUACAGGAGGAAGCAGUGGGGAAUCUUAGACGAUGGGGGCAAGCCUGAUCCAGCCAUACCGCGUGGGUGAAGAAGGCCUUCGGGUUGUAAAGCCAUUUUGUUGGGAGAGAAAAGCAGCAGGUUAAUACCCCACUGUUCUGACGGUACCCAAAGAAUAAGCACCGGCUAACUUCGUG
rnacentral:rRNA from 1 species